GCCGGGCGCAAAGCCCCAGGGCGGGGAAGGCGCCAGGCCCAGCGAGGCUGGCACAGUUGAGGGCGCCCCUGGGGCUUGCAAGGAAGGGCAAGGUCAUUGGCAGAGGUGGGGUGCUAGCCACGCAGCCAUGCCUCGGUGAUGCUCCCGGGAGACAGACUGGAGGGGACAGAGUAAGGUCCCCUAGGGCGAGGAGGAGGACGAGCUCACCGCUCUGUGGGUGGCACUUCCUCUGUGCUGACUGCGGCACUGGUCACUUACAGGAGGAAACACGCAAUGGCUUAACCAAGUUGUGGUCCUGGAAGAAGCUUCCAGGCCGGACCACGUAGAAGAGAGAAGGAGCCGCGGUUCCCUCUGGCUCGCACGGUUGGGACCAGGAGGUUGGGAGCACAGACCUCGUGUCUUCCUUUUGCCGCGAGAUGUCUCCCGACACGUGUGGCAGCAGACAGAACCACGUAGGCACCCUGGAGCCCCGCAGAGCUGCAGCACCGCCACUCGUGGCCACCUGGCCAUAUCUCUGCUCCUGCCCUGCCCUGGACUCACAGCCAGGGCCACACCUGGGAAGGCUUCCUGAAGGAGGUGACUUGGAGCAGGGAGCAGCAGAAGCCCUUGCCCGCAGCUGGCUCUCAGGACUCCAACAUGCACCAGGCAUGUUCCUGGAGGGGCUUGGGGGCGAUGAUAAGGUGAUACCCCCGGCCACCCCACACAGGACCAGGAAGCACCGGAUACACUUGGGAGUGCUUCCUUGAAGGCGGGGGAUGCAUCUGGGCGAUCCUUGCAUAAAUACGGUUCUCAUGC